UUUAAAUUGCUAAACAGGGGUACCUCUGGGCAGUAUGUCAGAAUACCACUUUUUAAAUGUUUUAUGAUUUAUUUAUUUUUCUAUUUCUUGAGGUUAGUUUUAACUGAUGUGUAUCUGUAUAUCUAUUUGUGUAUAUUUUGUCAUGAUCACGCAACAGAGGCUGAAAAGUGUGGAAGAGACAGUUUUCAGGAACAACAAGCAAUUAUUCCUACUUUCCAAGUUAUUUUGACGCCAUGGUGGCUCAUACCUAUAAUCUGAGUACUUUGGGAGGCUGAGUGGGCGGAUCCCCUGAGCCCAGAGAGGUCAACGUUAUGGUGAGCUGUGAUCACACCACUGCACUUCAGCAUGGGAGAUAGAGUGAGACCCUCAGAAAAAAUAAAUAAAUAAAACCACCAGCACCACAAACAAC
rnacentral:sRNA from 1 species